rnacentral:misc_RNA from 1 species
AGUGUCAAGAAAGAAGUCAACUUUUCUUCCCCUACUUCCCUGCAUUUCUCCUCUGUGCUCACUGCCACACGCAGCUCAGCCUGGGCGGCACAGCCAGAUGCGAGAUGCGUCUCUGCUGAUCUGAGUCUGCCUGCAGCAUGGACCUGGGUCUUCCCUGAAGCAUCUCCAGGGCUGGAGGGACGACUGCCAUGCACCGAGGGCUCAUCCAUCCGCAGAGCAGGGCAGUGGGAGGAGACGCCAUGACCCCCAUCGUCACAGUCCUGAUCUGUCUCGGGAGAAAAAAUCAGCAUCUUGGAUUACACGGAUACGACCAGAGCUUGUGAAGAACGGCCAGUUCCACAUCCCAUCCAUCACCUGGGAACACACAGGGCGAUAUGGCUGUCAGUAUUACAGCCGCGCUCGGUGGUCUGAGCUCAGUGACCCCCUGGUGCUGGUGAUGACAGGAGCCUACCCAAAACCCACCCUCUCAGCCCAGCCCAGCCCUGUGGUGACCUCAGGAGGAAGGGUGACCCUCCAGUGUGAGUCACAGGUGGCAUUUGGCGGCUU